UACGUAGGGUGCAAGCGUUGUCCGGAAUUAUUGGGCGUAAAGAGCGUGUAGGCGGCCCGAUUAGUCCGCUGUGAAAGUCCAGGGCUCAACCCUGGAAUGCCGGUGGAUACUGUCGGGCUAGAGUCCGGAAGGGGCGAGUGGAACUCCUGGUGUAGCGGUGAAAUGCGCAGAUAUCAGGAGGAACACCAAUGGCGAAGGCAGCUCGCUGGGACGUGACUGACGCUGAGACGCGAAAGCGUGGGGAGCAAACAGG
rnacentral:rRNA from 1 species